rnacentral:lncRNA from 1 species
UCUCCCUCUUCAUUCUCUUGUCUUCUUUCUUGGACUUCUUGUGAAGAAAAAAGAUGGAAAGAAGAAGACAAAUCCAACUGCUGAAAGAAAAAAACCUGCAAGAGAGCUAGCACCCCAGUGGUUUCAGAGGCUCCUAAUCAAGAUCAACCCCGUGUGGAUACCUAUAGAGGCUGAAUAUUUAUGCGGCUUCAAAAAAUCUUGAAGACAUCUAUGGAUC